rnacentral:rRNA from 1 species
GACGAACGCUGGCGGCGUGCUUAAUACAUGCAAGUCGAACGGACAGGCCCUGCUUUUGUGGGGUGCUCGAGUGGCGAACGGGUGAGUAACACGUGAGUAACCUGCCCUUGACUUUGGGAUAACUUCAGGAAACUGGGGCUAAUAUCGGAUAGGAGCUCCUGCUGCAUGGUGGGGGUUGGAAAGUUUCGGCGGUUGGGGAUGGACUCGCGGCUUACCAGCUUGUUGGGGGGGUAGUGGCUUACCAAGUCUUUGAAGGGUAGCCGGCCUGAGAGGGUGACCGGCCACAAUGGGACUGAGAUACGGCCCAGACGCCUACGGGAGGCAGCAGUGGGGAAUAUUGCACAAUGAGCGGAAGCCUGAGGCAGCAACGCCGCGUGCGGGAUGACGUCCUUCGGGUUGUAAACCGCUGUCGCCUGUGACAAAGCGUGAGUGACGGUAAUGGGUAAAAAAGCACCGGCUAACUACGUG